GUCGAGCAGCCAGAAUCGCCGCCGCCACGACACCACGUCCUGCAUCGCAUGCGACCCCUGCUGCCACCAGAUCGGCCCUGUCUUACAUCGCCGGCGAGCGCCGCGCCACCAGGUAGGUCCCAUCAUGCGUCGAGGGCGAGCACCGCCGCUACCAGGUCGGCCCUGUCGUCGUCGUGGACGAGCGCCGCCACCACCAGGUCGGCCCCGUCGUGCGUCGCCGGCGAGCGACGCGGCCACUAGGUCGACACAACAUUGAGAGACGUCAUCACCAAUCUCGCCGCCAGAUAUGGAUGGUCAAGCGCUGGCGAGGACAUGAUUUCGAAGUACAUUACUAUUAGUAGUAAUGUGCCGUAACAUUCAGUUCAUUCAUUCUUUGCACCAUGCUCUGUCAGGCUCAAAGUGUUGUGCCGUACCAUUUAGUCCAUUUUGUCUUUGUACUAUGCUCCAGACAGUUAACCAGACCUACAAUCUACAAACAAAGCCAUACAAGUUGCAAGUAGAAUCCAUGCUUGUUUGCCCAAAUAGCAGACAAAUAUAUGAUUAGAAUAGAGUGAGGGUUCAUGAAAUCCGUGAGACAUAUAUGCUAUUAAUCAUUUCACCUUCUUUUACAUCAAUCCCAACUUUGAAAGUUGCUUUGAAUUUCUUCGACAUUUUCACUUUAGAAAUCUCAAAACCAGUCUGAAAGCAAAAUGAAGCAACAGAAAGAAGGCUAACCUCAGCUUCUGGUUUCCUUAGACUCAAGCAUUUAAUCGCAGGAACUAGACAGAGUUGAAGUUGCUCCAGUUGUAACAUGCGCAUGUUUAGACUUUACAAAACUGAGUGAACUUGCUGGGCAAGUGUGGUUCUAAUCGAAUAAACAGCAAUAGCAAAAUGGGAAGGCAUGUCAAUGCGCACCAAAUUUCACUUUGCUUCAUAGUUUGUGCUAUUCUAUGCUUUCGACAACAUCUCCAUACUAACAAGGUCAAAUUCUAGGUGUCCUCCAUGACUGUUGACGCACAUUGCUGAUGUUAUCUUCAUUUCCCGGAUAGUAGCAUCAAGCGAGGCACUCUGUUCUUCUGCUUCCUCCAAAGCAAUAGACAUGGAAGUCAAGCUCUUGCAGACAUGGAUUUUCUGCAGAGCGUCAUACAGACAGCUCUUCAUUGAACUUGGCUCGCUUUUGAAAUCCCAAGAUCAGCAACUCUUGAUGGGUUGUAGUUUUGCUAUGUUAUUACAUGAACUAGUUGUUGGUAAAACUGAAUGUAAUUGCAAGAGUGAUUCUACUUAUUUUUCUUAAAGUACUUGGUACUCAUUUGAUGUCAAAUAGUUUGAAAUAUAAUAUUUCAGUCUGUUCAUAAACUGCGUUUGGCCAGUUUUACUCAA